UCAGGGACUCCAGACCGUGUGAGCAACUAACAGGAAACAACACCAGAUGUGCUGUAUCAGCCAUUGAUUUUCAUCCCUGAUGAAUUCAGCAAAAGAAGAUGAUGACAAUGAUAAAGAGGAAGAUGAAGAAGGGUGGAAAUAAAUCAAAUCUGCUAAUACCUUUACUUCAGUGUGAGGAUGUUUUCAACAAAAUUCUACUUUCCAGAUAAUUAUCUGAAUUAUCCACUUUAAAUUUGAACUGAACUUCCUCUGUGAGAAAAAGAUUAUCUCACCACCGCUGGAAGAUCCUUGAAGAGGGUGAGACACUUUGCUGUAUGAAUUGCGAACAUAUUCUCAAUGUUGCCUGCUGCUUUGAUCCCAGACGUGACCCAGACCCAUGUUAAAACCAACUCCUUACAGGUUUAUUCAUCACCCCACUUUCCUUCCAGUUACGGCUUUGCGAGUCUAGGAAACAGGCUCUCAGUAAAGGAAACACAGCGGCCAUCAACGCAGUCUAGCUGUGCGGAAGGAGCGCUCAGCCCCGGCGAGAGGUGUGGCUGCUGCCGCCCCUUUUCGGGGGACUCCUCCAUGACGUUGCGUUAUUUGAAUUUGAUGUUCAGAUAACACAAGUUUUAAAGAUACAUGUAAAAAUUGUUCUACAAUAUGGAAGAAACGUGAUUUUGGUGGUAGAAGAUGACAGCCUGGGGGAUAUGCGGUGGGACUAGUUGGAGGCAAAGCUGCACAUUUGGCAAAACUUGUCUUAGAAUCACCUUGCCCCUUCUUCUCCUUCUCAUCCUCACAGACACUCUGUAUUCCCCAACUAGACCGAGAGCUCUUGAUGAGUUAAUUAACGCCGAGGUUUUAGUGGCUCCAUUCCCAGCCCUUCGGGAAGGGUAUAAAUUUCAGAAGGAAAACCUCAGGGUACAAUAUUUAACCCACGUCAGUGGUUCUCUAAGAGCGGAAUUUCAAGUGCCGCAUUCCUGGAAGGGGAGGAAUUUGCUGGAUUAAAGGCUUCCUGGCCUGCAAUUGUGUUAUAUGAGAGCAUACCUACUCAAUACGUAUAAAGACACCUUGAAAAAAUAUUCAAGAUGUACGAAAAGGAAAUUGGGGAGAUAACUGCAAGACUUAGAGAAGAAUGAGGGACAGGAAAUUGCAUAUCAGCUUUAUUGAAAGAA
rnacentral:lncRNA from 1 species